AUGACUGUGCUACUAUUUUAAAGAAAAUCCAGAAUUCAAAGGAAAAGACGCAGCAUGCACUAUAUAGCCUAACAGCAGCACAACGAAGGAUGUAUAUUGUGAUAUGACAAAAGAUGGAGGUGGCUGGACUGUUAAAUACAUUUUCUUCUGUGGGAAAGAGUGGGUUGAUUCAACGACGAAAAUAUGGCAUCACUGAUUUUUAUCGAACUUCGGCGGAAUACAAGAAAGGAUUCGGAAGUGCAAAGACAGAUUACUGGUUAGGACAUGAUGCAAUACAUAUUUUGACGUCACGCACAACACAGGAAUUGUGGGUUGAUGUGGAAUAGUUUUCAGGCGCCAAGGCAUAUGCUAGAUAUUCCAAAUUUGCAAUCACUGAUGAGCAUAAUAAGUACAAGUUAACUGUCAGUGGAUACAAGGGUAACGCAGGGGAUGGUUUCAAUGGACACAAUGGAAUUGCGUUUGCAACAAAGGAUAGACAAGACAGACAUGGAUGUGCAACACGUCAUCAAGGGGAUUGGUGGUACACAGGAUGUUAUACUUCGGAUCUCA